AGUUGAUCCCAGGAUGAACGGGCGGCGUGCUAAUACAUGCAAGUCGAGCGAAUGGAUAAGAGCUUGUUUAGAAGUUAGCGGACGGGUGAGUAACAGUGGGUAACCGCCUAGUGGAUAACUCCGGGAAACCGGGUAAACCGAUAACAUUGAAGCAUGGUUGAAACAAAGGGGUUCGGCGUCAUUAUGAGGACCCGGUGCAUUAGUAGUUGGUGAGGUAACGGCUCCAAGGCAACGAUGGUAGCCGACUGAGAGGGUGAUCGGCCCAGGAUGAGACCGGCCCAGAUCUCGAGGCACUGGGACUUCCGCAAGAGAAAGCGACGGAGCAGCGCUGAGUGAGAAGGCUUUCGGGUCGUAAAAUGUUUUAGGGAAGAACAAGUGUAGUUAAUAACUGGCACCUUGACGGUACCUACCAGAAGCCCGGCUAACUAGUGCCAGCAGCCGCGGUAAUACGUAGGGCAAGCGUUAUCGGAAUUAUUGGGCGUAAAGCGCGCGCAGGUGGUUUUUAAGUUGAUGUGAAAGCCCCGGCUCAACCKUGGAUGAGACUUGAGUGCGAAGAGGAAAGUGGGAGUAGAGUAGGGGAACACC
rnacentral:rRNA from 1 species